CUUCCGUCUGCUUAAAGGACUCUUCAUGUAAACCCAAAUCUCCAUUAAACAAUCUAGGCUUUCCACUCUUCUGGAACCCUGAAAUCAGACUCAAGAACAUUCCUGUCUCCUAAGCAAGGCCACAUCCCCUCAAAGCUGGAGCUGACUGCUUCUUGGAGAGAACAAACAUUCUGGAAUCUUGGCAGCUGUUGGAGCAAUAUUCAGCUCUCUUUGUCUUCUUUUAUUUUUAAAUUAAAAUGACAUUAUUUUUCUGAUUAUAAAGGAAAUACAGAUCCAUGUAGAAAAAUUAAGCAAAAUUAAAAAAAAUAAGGAAAAAACGGAAUUUUAUGCAAACUCUCACCCCAGAGACAAUCACUAAAAACCUUUCCAGUCAUAUCUCUAUGCAUAUACAUGUGUGUCCAUAUAUGUUUGAUACUAGUAAAAUGGAUAUUUCCAAUUACAUAUAAUGGCUACUUAACUAUUUUCCUUUGUAAAUUGUUUAUGUUCUCAGCCCAUUUUUCUAUUGAUGUUUCUGUUUUUCACAUUGAUUUGUAAGCUCUUUGUAAAUUAAGAAUAUUAAUUUUUUCACUAUCAUAGAUGGUGAAAAUAUUUCCCUCCAUACUUUGUCUUUUACCUUGUUUAUGGUGGGGGAGUGGCUUAUAGAAAUGCAAGUUUUGAAUUGUUUAAUAUCAUAUCUAUUAAUAUUUGUCAAGAUUGCAGCCUUUUGUGCCGUGCUUGAUAAGUCUUCCCUAACACAAGGGCAUCAAAAACAUAAGUCUAUGUUUUUUAAUACCCCUAUGAGUUCACUUUUUAUGUUUACCAUUUUGACAAACCAGGAAUUUAUCUUGUUGAAAUAAAUGAAGUAGCAUCUGCCUUAGCUUUCCUUCCCAGAUGGCAAGUAGUCUAUCUUUCCCUCACUGAUUUAUAAAGUGCCUGCUUUUCCUGUGUUAAAUUCUCAUAUAUUUUGGAUCUAUUUCUGGAUUCUCUAAGCUGUUGCAUUGUUUUGCACAUCCAUUCUGCUAGUGCCACGCCAUUUAGUUGCCAAAGUUUUAUCACACUUUGUCAUGAGGUGGAAUUAGUAUUCCUAAUUACUUUUCUUUUUAUAACAUUGCCCUAGCCAUUCUGAAUUUCACAUGGAAGGAUAUUUUGUCAAGUCCUCAUACCUUCCCCCAUUUUUGAAAGAAAUCCAUUGACUUUAUUGAUUAAUUUUGGGGAAGUAACCUCUUUACCCUAUUGAAGCUUUCUAACCAAGAAUAAAUUAUAGCUCUUCACUGACUUCAGGUUUUCUCUGAUGUCUAUUAAUAAAGUUUUAUGGUUUUAAAAACACGGAUUAUGCUUUUUAGUGUUUUAUGAUUGUGAUCCAUUUGCAAAUAGGAUUAUUUUCUCCCAUUAUUAUAUUUUCAAAGUAGUUAAGAUACAAAAACUACUGAUUUUUGUAUAUAUUUGCAUAAUUGUCCACCUUAAACUGAAAUCACCUUUGCAAAAUUAUGACAGUACUCUAUCUUGCUUCUAGCCUCACAAGCUGGCUGGCUUUGCUCAUUCCUGGAUGUGAGCCAAACUAA
rnacentral:lncRNA from 10 species